UACAGAGACUGCAAGCGUUAUUCGGAUUCACUGGGCGUAAAGGGUGCGCAGGCGGUCGGGUGUGUCAGAUGUGAAAUCCCGAGGCUCAACCUCGGAACUGCGUCUAAAACUACUCGACUAGAGUACUGGAGAGGGUAACGGAAUUCACGGUGUAGCAGUGAAAUGCGUAGAUAUCGUGAGGAACACCAGAGGCGAAGGCGGUUACCUGGACAGUUACUGACGCUCAGGCACGAAAGCAUGGGGAGCAAAAGGG
rnacentral:rRNA from 1 species